GACGAACGCUGGCGGCGUGCCUAACACAUGCAAGUCGAGCGGAGAAUGCAGAAAUGUUUACAUGGAAGCGUUCUUAGCGGCGGACGGGUGAGUAACACGUGGGUAACCUGCCUCAAAGUGGGGGAUAGCCUUCCGAAAGGAAGAUUAAUACCGCAUAAGCCUACAGUGCCGCAUGGCACAGCAGGAAAAGGAGCAAUCCGCUUUGAGAUGGACCCGCGGCGCAUUAGCUAGUUGGUGAGGUAACGGCUCACCAAGGCGACGAUGCGUAGCCGACCUGAGAGGGUGAUCGGCCACAUUGGAACUGAGACACGGUCCAGACUCCUACGGGAGGCAGCAGUGGGGAAUAUUGCACAAUGGGCGAAAGCCUGAUGCAGCAACGCCGCGUGAGUGAUGAAGGCCUUCGGGUCGUAAAGCUCUUUGAUCAGGGAUGAUAAUGACAGUACCUGAAAAACAAGCCACGGCUAACUACGUGCCAGCAGCCGCGGUAAUACGUAGGUGGCGAGCGUUGUCCGGAAUUACUGGGCGUAAAGGAUGCGUAGGUGGAUACUUAAGUGGGAUGUGAAAUCCCCGGGCUCAACCCGGGAACUGCAUUCCAAACUGGGUAUCUAGAGUGCAGGAGAGGAAAGCGGAAUUCCCUGUGUAGCGGUGAAAUGCGUAGAUAUAGGGAGGAACACCGGUUGCGAAGGCGGCAUACUGGCUGGUAACUGACGCUGAGGAGCGAAAGCGUGGGUAGCAAACA
rnacentral:rRNA from 1 species